CUGCCAUGAGGCCUCCCUGCAGCUCCUCUGCUCUGCGCUGAGCAAACCUCAGUGGGGAGAUAGCUUCCUGCUGUGAAAAACAGAGGGCAGUGGGCAGGAAGAGAAAUGACCAAAGCUGCUAUUUCCAGCAGGACAAGGACCCAAGGAUGCAUUUCCUGACAGAGGGAAGACCAAGGCUUUCCAAGGGCUUUGUGGAAGUUUGCUUGGGGUUUCUGCAAGCCGUGAUGCUGCAUAAAGUUGCUGGAAAAGAAGCGGCGGCCAGAAAAGAGAUCUUGGCUCAUGUAAACACCCUGACUCUGAGCUGCCUUGCUGUGCCUGGAACAACUCAUGCAGAAGGAGAAGCUGGUAUGGCCCAGAGUCCACCUACUGCGGUGAUCUCCUAAAUCUUCAGAGUGGGCAGUGCUGAAGAGAAGAUGCGGUGGGCAAGACUCAGAACUGGCUAGAAAACAGCCUGGAGUCAGCAACAAGCAAAUACAACAAACAUCUUUACAGUUAUCAAAUAAAGCAAUCCAAUUUCA